AGAGUUUGAUCCUGGCUCAGAUUGAACGCUGGCGGCAUGCCUCACACAUGCAAGUCGAACGCGAAAGGGGGCAACCCUGAGUAGAGUGGCGAACGGGUGAGUAAUGCAUCGGAACGUGUCCUGUGUCGGGGGACAACCCCGAGAAAUCGGGGCUAAUACCGCAUACGUCCUACGGGAGAUAGUGGGGACCGCAUGGCCUCACACUAUAGGGGCGGCCGAUGCCGGAUUAGCUAGUUGGUGGGGUAAAAGCUCACCAAGGGCGACGAUCCGUAGCUGGUCUGAGAAGAUGAUCAGCCACACUGGGACUGAGACACGGNCCCAACUCCUACGGGAGGCAGCAGUGGGGAAUUUUGGAACAUGGGCGCA
rnacentral:rRNA from 1 species